GGGAUGGCGAAUGGCUCUUGCAGUUAGCUGGCUGAGCGUGUGAGCAGUAUGUGUGAGCAAGAUCAUUGGUGUCUCCAGCAGUUAAGAGCACCAGUUGCAGGAAUUUCAUCAGAGGCAUACAAGUUGUGGAUUUGACUGGGACAAUUUUUUGUACAUUUCCAUUUUUUGAACAAGAGGAGGAAGCUGUGCUGUGAAGGAUCCUUUUUCAUCAUGAUUAUUGCAUCUACAGGAGCAGUAAUAAAUUCUAAUAGAUAAUGCAACUCAGUCUACUUGGAUGUUCACCCCUGAGACUGGAGAAGACCUGCUGCCUUCUGCAGAGCCAAACAUUCCUCACAUGCUCCUUCACAAUGCUAGCCAAUGCAGCAAGAAUAGUCUUAUAUAGACUAUAAGCUCCUGGAUCACUGUGUCUACAUUGCUCACUGCAGUGUCCCAACAUCUAAGAACAUGGUCUUAGAUGUCUGGUAUAGGACUGGUGCUCAGUAUGCACUGAAUGAAUAAAUGAAUGAAUAUAGCAAAGCA